UAUGAUUAUUUAAUUUUAGUGAAUAUGGUAAUAUAUUCAAUUUACUAAAACUACAGUGUAUUGUUAUAAAUAUCCAAUAAAAGCAUUUUCUGAAAUGGAAAUUCAACCGCAACCGACGUAUCAUCGCAAGUCAUGUGUAUUCGAAGACUUUAAAAAGUUUAAUAUUUCUGAACAACGUUUUGAACAGCAAUAUUGUAGUAUUUAUAAAGCAAGAUUAAAAGCAUUAAAAGAUCAUCUUUUGCAAAAAGCGAAAAUUAAGUGGGGGCACAAUAAAAUAGUUACUCUUGAACAACUUAGUGAAAGAAACGAAAAUGAUACUUGUAUUAUAAUAGGCACUUUAUACAAACAUCAAGAGUUGAAACCAUCGUUAUUACGCGAACUCAGUACCGAACUUCAAUUACAAACCCAACCAGCCAGAGCAAAUUAUGCGUCAUUUAAAGAUAUAUUGUACUUGGAAGAUGAAACAUUACGUAUUAAAUUGGUUGAUAAUCAUAUAAAUAUUCAAGAUGUAGUUACUGGUAUUGUUUGUGCUGUAUUGGGACAUGAUCUAAAGGAUGGUGAACUUUCAGUAAUAGAUUGGUGUUUGCCAGGAUGUUGUCCAAAAUUAUCAACAUUUGAUCGACCACUAGAAACGCAAGGAAAGAUUUUAAUAAUUUCAGGUCUAGAUCUAGCAAAUAAUUUACAAUCGUUAAGUACAGAUUUAUUAUUUGAAUGGAUCACUGGAAUGAUUGGUUGUGAAGAAGUUCAUAAAGAUGUGGCAUCUAUUGUGUGUAUUAUUAUAGCAGGAAAUAGUGUAAGGGGAUCUGUGGAGACCCACAAUUAUAAAGAUUAUUUUGAGACAAAUGCACAUGAUGCAGCGAUAUUUAAAGAGACUGCAAGCGUAACACAUAAAUUAGAUAACUUUCUUCACCCUAUCAUACAAUGUUGUCCCAUAAUAUUAAUGCCUGGAGAAUUUGAUCCAACGUGUCAUACAUUACCUCAACAACCACUUCAUCCAUGCAUUUUGCCACAAUGUUUCAGGUUUAAAAGUUUUUAUGGAGUUACUAAUCCAUGGAUUGGUAGUAUAAACUCUCGUAUUGUAGCUGGAUCCAGUGGUCAACCAAUUAUAGAUAUCAUGAAAGUUGCUGGACUUGUUGAUAUUUCACCAUUAAUGUGGUUAGAACGUACGUUACUUUGGCGACAUUAUGCACCAACUGCACCAGAUACUAUACCAGCUUAUCCAUCUAGCGAAAUUGAUCCAUUUAUUAUAACAGAAUGUCCUGAUAUAUAUUUUGUUGGUAAUAUGGAUAAGUACGAUACCAAAUUAUUCACAGGAUUGAAAAAUUUGGGCAAUGUGUAAAAAUUAUAUUUGUGACAUACACUUAUUACACACAUUCAUAAAAGGUACUAUAUAGAUAUGCAGCUACAGGUGGGCGUAUGACGUAAUUCGCCCACGCGGACAUUUCUAUAAUCACACCACUACUCAUGAAGGAGUCCAUGGUCCAAGACUAGCUGAAGCAUAAAAAUCCAUAGGAUAUGGCUUAUCAUUAUUAAAAUUUAUCAUUUUUAAAGCAGCAGCUCCUUCAUAUGGUGUGAGAAAAGGUUUUUCAAAUGCUGUUCCCCAAUCUAUACUUAAUCGUGGACAUGCAAUCUGUAAUAUAGGAAUAAUAAUGUACAUUUAUCAUAAUUAUGAAAAUAUAAUUAAGAGAACAAAUUUUAUAACUAUAAACAACCUGUAUAAAAGCA